CCUACGGGAGGCAGCAGUGGGGAAUUUUGGACAAUGGGCGCAAGCCUGAUCCAGCCAUGCCGCGUGUGGGAAGAAGGCCUUCGGGUUGUAAACCACUUUUGUCAGGGAAGAAACGGCUUUUUCUAAUACAGAGAGCUAAUGACGGUACCUGAAGAAUAAGCACCGGCUAACUACGUGCCAGCAGCCGCGGUAAUACGUAGGGUGCAAGCGUUAAUCGGAAUUACUGGGCGUAAAGCGUGCGCAGGCGGCUUUGCAAGACAGAUGUGAAAUCCCCGGGCUCAACCUGGGAACUGCAUUUGUGACUGCAUGGCUAGAGUACGGUAGAGGGGGAUGGAAUUCCGCGUGUAGCAGUGAAAUGCGUAGAUAUGCGGAGGAACACCGAUGGCGAAGGCAAUCCCCUGGACCUGUACUGACGCUCAUGCACGAAAGCGUGGGGAGCAAACAGGAUUAGAUACCCUGGUAGUCCACGCCCUAAACGAUGUCAACUGGUUGUUGGACGGCUUGCUGUUCAGUAACGAAGCUAACGCGUGAAGUUGACCGCCUGGGGGUAGGUACGGCGCGAGGUUAGGUUAACGUACGAAGGAGUUAGACGGCGNGAGACGNGCGACGGACGACGACGAGGGAGGAGG
rnacentral:rRNA from 1 species